GACGAACGCUGGCGGCGUGCUUAACACAUGCAAGUCGAACGAGUGGCGGACGGGUGAGUAAUGCUUGGGAAUCUAGCUUAUGGAGGGGGAUAACUACGGGAAACUGUAGCUAAUACCGCGUACCAUAGGAUGAGCCCAAGUGGGAUUAGGUAGUUGGUGAGGUAAAGGCUCACCAAGCCGACGAUCUCUAGCUGGUCUGAGAGGAUGACCAGACACACUGGGACUGAGACACGGCCCAGACUCCUACGGGAGGCAGCAGUGGGGAAUAUUGCGCAAUGGGGGCAACCCUGACGCAGCCAUGCCGCGUGAAUGAAGAAGGCCUUCGGGUUGUAAAGCACUUUUGGCAGGAAAGCGGUACCUGCAGAAUAAGCACCGGCUAACUACGUGCCAGCAGCCGCGGUAAUAC
rnacentral:rRNA from 1 species